ACAGUCACACAUUAGAUACCCCUGUAGUCCAGGGUGUAAACGCUGCGGGCUUGGUGUUGGGGGGUCCUUUGAGGGCGCCCAGUGCCGGAGAGAAGUUGUUAAGCCUGCUGCUUGGGGAGUACGUCCGCAAGGAUGAAACUUAAAGGAAUUGGCGGGGAGCACCGCAACGGGAGGAGCGUGCGGUUCAAUUGGAUUCAACGCCGGACAACUCACCAGGAGCGACGGUUACAUGAAGGCCAGGCUGAUGACCUUGCCUGAUCUUCCG
rnacentral:rRNA from 1 species